CAUUAGCUCGCUUGCUUGGCACAGACCAGACCAUACCGCGCUCGCUGCCCCAACCCUAAUCCCCAUUCCUCUCCACCCCGGCGGCCGUCGAUCGGCCGGUCGCCCGCCAUGGCCCAGCCGGCGCGGCACCUCGCCGACGAGAUCCUGGAGGAGAUCUUCAUUCGCCUGCCCACGCCGGCCGCGCUCGCCCGCGCCUCCACCGUCAGUCCCCGUUUCCGCCGCAUCAUCACCGACCGCCCCUUCCUCCGCCGCCUCCGUGCUCUCCAUCCGCCGCCACUCCUGGAAAUCGCUGUCGACAGACGCGCCUUCCACCCCGCCCAAGAACCUCAUCCCUCCGCCCCGCCAUCCCGUGCCCUCGCCGACGGCGCGGAUUUCUCCUACUCCUUCGUUCCCGUGCCCCAGACCAACCAGGAGUUGCUCAGCCCCUGGUACCACCGCGACAUCCGCGACGGCCGCGUCCUCCUCGAGCGCAGCUACAUGUUCGACAUGGGUGCUGCAGCCUUCCCAAACCUCGCGGUGUGCGAUCCCGUGUCACGGAGGUACGUGCUGCUCCCAUCCAUACCUGAGGAAAUGGCCGUCCAGUAAGAGCGCCUUGUCGAAUUCGGGCCCAUGCUCGGUCCCGCUGCCGAGGACGAGGAUGAGACCUCGUUCUCCGUGAUCUGCACGGCGUGCUACAACAGCAAGUUGGUCACAUUUGUCUUCAAUUCGGUCACUGGACAAUGGUGUGUAGCUGCAUCUCCCAGCUGGAGCUCUUUGGGCACAGCUGAGCCCACUUGGAAAGCCUUUUCCAGCUUCAGCUACUUGCGUGGCUGCUUCUACUGGGGAGCUCUUUGGGAAGACAAGCUUCUCGUGCUGGACACACGCACAAUGGAGUUUUCCACACUGAACAUUCUCACAGGUUACAAUAUCCAGCUUCUAAAUCAGCUUGGCCAGGGCCCAUGCUGGUCGAUCACUGCUGGUGGUACAGAAGGAGCGCUUGAGAUGUUUACUCCCGUCGGCGAUUACCGUUCUACCUCGCUGCAUCAUACAUUCAUACCACUCAGCAAAACAACGGCGAAUCAUCCAACGAGUGGAAGCUAAAAAAUGUCAUAGCGUUGCCUCCCAGAUCUCUCUAUUUUACUAUGGGUGCGACCGAGGGAUUCUUAUUCCUUCGAGGAACUCAGUUUGUUGGUAGUUCAUAUGGGUUGUUGCCCCAGCAUAACAAUGUUGAUUUUUAUUCUCUGGAUGUCAAGACUUCAGAACUUAAGGAGGUCUGCAGGGCAACAACACACUUUGAUCGUCCCAAUGUUGUUCACUCAUACUUUGGCUUCCCACCAUCAUUGUCCAAACCGAGUCUAUGAACUACAAAUUAAGCGGUUACAUCAUGGUGACUGAAAUGAAGAAAUGUGUUGUUGGGUGUAGGCUCUUCUAUUUUGUUUGUUCGAGGCGGAGAUUGACUCAAGGUUACAUUCUGGCGACUGAAAUGAAGAAAUGUGUUGUUGGGUGUAGGCUCUUCUAUUUUGUAUGCUCGGGCUGGAGAUUGACUAGCAUGCACCGGUCAGCUGUGAAGCGCACUUGUAGGGAUUAGAUGCUCUAUCCGUCAACUUCCGUCUAUCGUCUGAUUUCCAUGGGCACCCGUGAACUGGCAUGAAGGUUGAAUGCACAUUGACGUGCUCCCAAAAUCAGUACUGUACUUGUGGUUCCUGUAAUUUGCUGAUUUCUAAGCAGGCUCACAUGUGAACUCAUCCUGCUUGCAUAUUUGUGUGUGCGCAAGCGUGCGUGCGCUUGGUUAUCUUGUGUGUUGCAUCAAUCAGUUGGUUCCGCCGCUA